rnacentral:rRNA from 1 species
CCUACGGGGGGCAGCAGUAGGGAAUCUUGCGCAAUGGGCGAAAGCCUGACGCAGCCAUGCCGCGUGAAUGAUGAAGGUCUUAGGAUUGUAAAAUUCUUUCACCGGGGAAGAUAAUGACGGUACCCGGAGAAGAAGCCCCGGCUAACUUCGUGCCAGCAGCCGCGGUAAUACGAAGGGGGCUAGCGUUGCUCGGAAUUACUGGGCGUAAAGGGCGCGUAGGCGGAUAUCUAAGUCGGGGGUGAAAGCCCGGGGCUCAACCUCGGAAUUGCCUUCGAUACUGGAUAUCUUGAGUACGGGAGAGGUGAGUGGAACUCCGAGUGUAGAGGUGAAAUUCGUAGAUAUUCGGAAGAACACCAGUGGCGAAGGCGACUCACUGGCCCGUUACUGACGCUGAGGCGCGAAAGCGUGGGGAGCAAACAGGAUUAGAUACCCCAGUAGUC